UACAGAGGUCCCGAGCGUUGUUCGGAUUCACUGGGCGUAAAGCGCGUGUAGGCGGCCAUGUAGGUCUGACGUGAAAUUCCGAGGCUCAACCUCGGCAGGUCGUUGGAAACCAUAUGGCUAGAGUCCGGAAGAGGAGAGUGGAAUUCCUGGUGUAGCGGUGAAAUGCGCAGAUAUCAGGAAGAACACCAAUGGCGAAGGCAGCUCUCUGGGACGGUACUGACGCUGAGACGCGAAAGCGUGGGGAGCGAACAGG
rnacentral:rRNA from 1 species